CCUACGGGUGGCAGCAGUGGGGAAUAUUGGACAAUGGGGGGAACCCUGAUCCAGCCAUGCCGCGUGUGUGAAGAAGGCCCUCGGGUUGUAAAGCACUUUCAGUGAGGAAGAACGCCUGGUGGUUAAUACCCAUCAGGAAAGACAUCACUCACAGAAGAAGCACCGGCUAACUCCGUGCCAGCAGCCGCGGUAAUACGGAGGGUGCGAGCGUUAAUCGGAAUUACUGGGCGUAAAGCGCGCGUAGGUGGCUUGAUAAGCCGGUUGUGAAAGCCCCGGGCUCAACUUGGGAACGGCAUCCGGAACUGUCAAGCUAGGGUGGAGGAGAGGAAGGUAGAAUUCCCGGUGUAGCGGUGAAAUGCGUAGAGAUCGGGAGGAAUACCAGUGGCGAAGGCGGCCUUCUGGACUGACACUGACACUGAGGUGCGAAAGCGUGGGUAGCAAACAGGAUUAGAUACCCCAGUAGUC
rnacentral:rRNA from 1 species